AUUGAACGCUGGCGGCAGGCCUAACACAUGCAAGUCGAGCGAGCGGCGGACGUGUGAUUAAUGUAUGGGGAUCUGCCCGAUAGAUGGGGAUAACUACUGGUAACGGUUGCUAAUAACGCAUACUAACGGAUGAAUCCAAAUGGGAUUAGCUAGUAGGUGGGGUAAAGGCUCACCUAGGCGACGAUGUCUAGCUGGUCUGAGAGGAUGAUCAGCCACACUGGGACUGAGACAUGGCCCAGACUCCUACGGGAGGCAGCAGUGGGGAAUAUUGGACAAUGGGCGAAAGCCUGAUGCAGCCAUGCCGCGUGUAUGAAGAAGGCCUUAGGGUUGUAAAGUACUUUCAGCGGGGAGGCGUUACCUGCAGAAGAAGCACCGGCUAACUCCGUGCCAGCCGCCGCGGUAAUAC
rnacentral:rRNA from 1 species